rnacentral:rRNA from 1 species
UACGAAGGGUGCAAGCGUUAAUCGGAAUUACUGGGCGUAAAGCGUGCGCAGGCGGUUCGUUGUGUCGGCGGUGAAAGCCCCGGGCUUAACCUGGGAAUGGCCGUUGAAACUGGCGAACUGGAGUGUGGCAGAGGGGGGUGGAAUUCCGCGUGUAGCAGUGAAAUGCGUAGAGAUGCGGAGGAACACCGAUGGCGAAGGCAGCCCCCUGGGCUAACACUGACGCUCAGGCACGGAAGCGUGGGGAGCAAACAGG